UUUUUCUCAAAUAAUAUUUGAAUAAAUCGGCCAGAAGUGGGAUUUAUUAUUGCGUCAUAUUUUUAAUAUAUUAUUCCUAUAUAAAGGCCGUUUAAAGUUAGGACAACCAGAAUUGUUGUCGAGUUAGUCGUGAAUUUUACUUGUUAAAUAAACUGAAGAUGAAAAUUUUUCUGAGUCUUUUUUUUGCUUUUUUCUGAUUGAAGUAAACGCUGAUUGCUGGUUUGGUCCACCUGGAUAUGAAGCCGAGGUUAGAAAAAUUUACAAGGAUGGAGAGAAAUACAAGAUGGAAAGUGCUUCAGCUGGAAAUGCCGCAACAAUUCAUGGGGUGGUAGCGGGUAUGCUGAAUAUUAUUGUAUAGACCAAAUUGGGAACACAGGCUACAAUUAUUCGAAACCGUUUCCUAAAUUCUGUCCUAAACCGAUAUGUAAAUCACAUCUAGAAAAAAAAUUGAAAAAGCGAUCAUUAAAAAUUUUCAGACUUUAAACACGAAUGCAAUUUUAAUAAAUAAAAUCCAACUGUUUGUAAAACAAAAUUACGUUUUGUAGUUAUGAUAUAAAAUAAGAAAUAAAAAUAAAAUGUUUUAAUAACAAUAAAUUGUACCCAUCAACUUGAAGUUUUGUGUUGAUGAUAUAAAUUUUAUAAAUUCUACAAUUUUCAUUAAAUUUAUUCUAUCGUUUCUAUCCCGCCAUUACGUCAUACGCAGAAUACAUUAACUCCCUCGUGUAAAUGUUAGCUUGUUUUUGGAAUAAAGCCAAACCUGACUACAUGUGGGUCCCUUUGAAGGAGAAGAUAAGUUGGCGAUACAGUGAUUCAUAAAUGCGUGGAAUCUAUAUUCAAGUGAUUCGGAUGGAUUACUUCGGAGUGAUUCUAACUCUUAAAGUUUAAAUCUUUCAAAUGAUAUUUAAUAAUUCAAUAAUGUAUCUAUAUUUAUUUUAAAAAAUUUUUUAUAAACAUUGUUUAUUUC
rnacentral:lncRNA from 1 species